rnacentral:rRNA from 1 species
GACGAACACUGGCGGCGUGCUUAACACAUGCAAGUCGAACGGAAAGGCCCUGCUUUUGUGGGGUGCUCGAGUGGCGAACGGGUGAGUAACACGUGAGUAACCUGCCCUUGACUUUGGGAUAACUUCAGGAAACUGGGGCUAAUACCGGAUAGGAGCUCCUGCUGCAUGGUGGGGGUUGGAAAGUUUCGGCGGUUGGGGAUGGACUCGCGGCUUAUCAGCUUGUUGGUGGGGUAGUGGCUUACCAAGGCUUUGACGGGUAGCCGGCCUGAGAGGGGGACCGGCCACAUUGGGACUGAGAUACGGCCCAGACUCCAACGGGAGGCAGCAGUGGGGAAUAUUGCACAAUGGGCGGGAGCCUGAUGCAGCAACGCCGCGUGCGGGAUGACGGCCUUCGGGUUGUAAACCACUUUCGCCUGUGACGAAGCGUGAGUGACGGUAAUGGGUAAAGAAGCACCGGCUAACUACGUG